rnacentral:rRNA from 1 species
GAUGAACGCUAGCUACAGGCUUAACACAUGCAAGUCGAGGGGCAGCAUGAACAAAGCUUGCUUUGUUUGAUGGCGACCGGCGCACGGGUGCGUAACACGUAUCCAAUCUGCCCGCGGCUCGGGGAUAGCCCAUCGAAAGAUGAAUUAAUACCCGAUGGUGUGGUUACUCCGCAUGGGGUUUCCACUAAAGGUUUUCCGGCCGCGGAUGAGGAUGCGUAUGAUUAGGUAGUAGGCGGGGUAACGGCCCACCUAGCCUUCGAUCAUUAGGGGUUCUGAGAGGAAGGUCCCCCACACUGGAACUGAGACACGGUCCAG